UACGUAGGGUGCGAGCGUUAAUCGGAAUUACUGGGCGUAAAGCGUGCGCAGGCGGUUAUGUAAGACAGAUGUGAAAUCCCCGGGCUCAACCUGAGAACUGCAUUUGUGACUGCAUAGCUAGAGUACGGUAGAGGGAGAUGGAAUUCCGCGUGUAGCAGUGAAAUGCGUAGAUAUGCGGAGGAACACCGAUGGCGAAGGCAAUCCCCUGGACCGGUACUGACGCUGAGGCACGAAAGCGUGGGGAGCAAACAGG
rnacentral:rRNA from 1 species